ensembl:snRNA U1 U1 spliceosomal RNA
AUACUUACCUGGCAGGGGAGAUACCAUGAUCACAAGGUGGUUUUACCAGGGUGAGUCUUAUCCAGUUCACUCCGGAUGUGCUGACCCCUGUGAUUUCUCCAAAUGUGGGAAACUCAACUGCAUAAUUUGUAGUAGUGGGGGACUGUGUUUGUGCUCUCCCCUG